rnacentral:rRNA from 1 species
UACAGAGGUCUCAAGCGUUGUUCGGAUUCAUUGGGCGUAAAGGGUGCGUAGGCGGCGCGGUAAGUCGGGUGUGAAAUCUUGGAGCUUAACUCCGAAACUGCAUUCGAUACUGCCGUGCUUGAGGACUGGAGAGGAGACUGGAAUUUACGGUGUAGCGGUGAAAUGCGUAGAUAUCGUAAGGAAGACCAGUGGCGAAGGCGGGUCUCUGGACAGUUCCUGACGUGAGGCACGAAGGCCAGGGGAGCAAACAGG